GCGGGAAUACCUCAGCGGUAGAGCAUCGCCUUGCCAAGGCGAGGGUCGCGAGUUCGAAUCUCGUUUCCCGCUCCA
rnacentral:tRNA from 1 species